GUGAGUAAUGCCUAGGAAUCUGCCUGGUAGUGGGGGAUAACGCUCGGAAACGGACGCUAAUACCGCAUACGUCCUACGGGAGAAAGCAGGGGACCUUCGGGCCUUGCGCUAUCAGAUGAGCCUAGGUCGGAUUAGCUAGUUGGUGAGGUAAUGGCUCACCAAGGCGACGAUCCGUAACUGGUCUGAGAGGAUGAUCAGUCACACUGGAACUGAGACACGGUCCAGACUCCUACGGGAGGCAGCAGUGGGGAAUAUUGGACAAUGGGCGAAAGCCUGAUCCAGCCAUGCCGCGUGUGUGAAGAAGGUCUUCGGAUUGUAAAGCACUUUAAGUUGGGAGGAAGGGCAGUAAAUUAAUACUUUGCUGUUUUGACGUUACCGACAGAAUAAGCACCGGCUAACUCUGUGCCAGCAGCCGCGGUAAUACAGAGGGUGCAAGCGUUAAUC
rnacentral:rRNA from 1 species